rnacentral:rRNA from 1 species
AAAUAGAUACCCGGGUAGUCCACGCCGUAAACGGUGGGCACUAGGUGUGGGCGACAUUCCACGUCGUCCGUGCCGCAGCUAACGCAUUAAGUGCCCCGCCUGGGGAGUACGGCCGCAAGGCUAAAACUCAAAGGAAUUGACGGGGGCCCGCACAAGCGGCGGAGCAUGUAGCUUAAUUCGACGCAACGCGAAGAACCUUACCAAGGCUUGACAUACACCGGAAACGUCCAGAGAUGGGCGCCCCCUUGUGGUCGGUGUACAGGUGGUGCAUGGCUGUCGUCAGCCCGUGUCGUGAGAUGUUGGGUUAAGUCCCGCAACGAGCGCAACCCUUGUCCCGUGUUGCCAGCAGGUCCCUUGUGGUGCUGGGGACUCGACGGGAGACCGCCGGGGUCAACUCGGAGGAAGGUGGGGACGACGUCAAGGUCAGUCAUGCCCCUUAUGUCUUGGGCUGCACACGUGCUACAAUGGCCGGUACAAUGAGCUGCGAUACCGCGAGGUGGAGCGAAUCUCAAAAAGCCGGUCUCAGUUCGGAUUGGGGUCUGCAACUCGACCCC